GUGUCAGCCGCCGCGGUAAUACGAAGGUCCCGAGCGUUGUUCGGAAUCACUGGGCGUAAAGGGAGCGUAGGCGGCGCGGUAAGUCAGAUGUGAAAUCCCGGGGCUCAACCCCGGAACUGCAUCCGAUACUGCCGUGCUAGAGGAUUGGAGAGGUAGCUGGAAUUCUUGGUGUAGCAGUGAAAUGCGUGGAGAUCAAGAGGAACACUCGUGGCGAAAGCGAGCUACUGGACAAUAUCUGACGCUGAGGCUCGAAGGCCAGGGUAGCGAAAGGGAUUAGAUACCCUUGUAGUCC
rnacentral:rRNA from 1 species